GACGAACGCUGGCGGCGUGCUUAACACAUGCAAGUCGAGCGGAAAGGCCCUUCGGGGUACUCGAGCGGCGAACGGGUGAGUAACACGUGAGUAAUCUGCCCCGCACUCUGGGAUAGCCACCGGAAACGGUGAUUAAUACCGGAUAUGACGGCCCUGCGCAUGUGGGGUUGUGGAAAGUUUUUCGGUGCGGGAUGUGCUCGCGGCCUAUCAGCUUGUUGGUGGGGUAAUGGCCUACCAAGGCUUCGACGGGUAGCCGGCCUGAGAGGGUGACCGGCCACACUGGGACUGAGACACGGCCCAGACUCCUACGGGAGGCAGCAGUGGGGAAUAUUGGACAAUGGGCGGAAGCCUGAUCCAGCAACGCCGCGUGAGGGAUGACGGCCUUCGGGUUGUAAACCUCUUUCAGCACAGACGAAGCGCAAGUGACGGUAUGUGCAGAAGAAGGACCGGCCAACUACGUGCCAGCAGCCGCCGUAAAAC
rnacentral:rRNA from 1 species